GAUGAACGCUGGCGGCGUGCCUAAUACAUGCAAGUCGAGCGAACGGACGAGAAGCUUGCUUCUCUGAUGUUAGCGGCGGACGGGUGAGUAACACGUGGAUAACCUACCUAUAAGACUGGGAUAACUUCGGGAAACCGGAGCUAAUACCGGCUAAUAUUUUGAACCGCAUGGUUCAAAAGUGAAAGACGGUCUUGCUGUCACUUAUAGAUGGAUCCGCGCUGCAUUAGCUAGUUGGUAAGGUAACGGCUUACCAAGGCAACGAUGCAUAGCCGACCUGAGAGGGUGAUCGGCCACACUGGAACUGAGACACGGUCCAGACUCCUACGGGAGGCAGCAGUAGGGAAUCUUCCGCAAUGGGCGAAAGCCUGACGGAGCAACGCCGCGUGAGUGAUGAAGGUCUUCGGAUUGUAAAACUCUGUUAUUAGGGAAGAACAUAUGUGUAAGUAACUGUGUACGUCUUGACGGUACCUAAUCAGAAAGCCACGGCUAACUACGUG
rnacentral:rRNA from 1 species